AUGGAUGGUGUUUGGAGCCCCAGGACUGGAGGACGCUCCUAGGGAGAGAGGACCCA
rnacentral:miRNA from 1 species